AUGCGCCGGUCCCCAGCAUGGCGGCCACGUGGCCAGCUGCUCUGGGGGCCGUGGCUGCCCAGCUCCUCGGUGUCCUGUGGUUCGUGUCAGUCACCACGGGACCUUGGGGAGCUGCUGCCAUCGCCGCCGCCAGUGGCGGGGAGACGCUUAAGUGCGAGGACCUCAAAUUGGGACAAUAUAUUUGUAAAGAUCCAAAAAUAAAUGAUGCUACACAAGAACCAGUUAACUGUACAAACUACACAGCUCAUGUUCCUUGUUUUCCAGCACCCAACAUAACUUGUAAGGAUUUUGGUGGCAAUGAAACACAUUUUACUGGAAAUGAAGUUGGUUUUCUCAAGCCUGUAUCUUGCCGAAAUGUAAAUGGCUAUUCAUACAAAGUGGCAGUUGCGCUCUUUUCCUUGGAUGGUUGGGAGCAGAUCAAUUUUACCUUGGAUACCCUGCCUUGGGUUUGUUAAAGUUUUGCACUGUAGGGUUUUGUGGAAUUGGGAGCCUAAUUGAUUUCAUUCUUAUUUCAAUGCAGAUCGUUGGACCUUCAGAUGGAAGUAGUUACAUUAUAGAUUAUUAUGGAACCAGACUUACAAGACUGAGUAUUACUAAUGAGACAUUUAGAAAAACACAGUUAUAUCCAUAAAUAUUUUUAAAAAGAAACAGAUUUGGGCUUCCUUGAUUUCAAUAGAGCACUCUCAGUAUGUGGAUUUCCAGAUUAUCCUUUUUCUUCAUAUACCACUUUAUGGAUUCUUUAUAACUUUUUGUUGAUAUUUUUUGUUUUGUUGUUUUACUUAAAAGCAUAUUAUUCUGAGAUUUAUUUAAUUGGACUUUCUUUGAGAGCUGUGUGAUAAUUGAGUCUUAGGCUACUGUCUCCAUGAGAUAGAUAGCUUAUUACCCCAAUAUUCUUUAAUGCCUUUUCCAAAGGCAAGUUGUGACUUGUCGUUUUCGCUUCUGAAAAAUAAAAGAAUGACUUAUUCACA